AUUGAACGCUGGCGGCAGGCCUAACACAUGCAAGUCGAGCGGAUGAAGGGAGCUUGCUCCUGGAUUCAGCGGCGGACGGGUGAGUAAUGCCUAGGAAUCUGCCUGGUAGGGGGGGAUAACGUCCGGAAACGGGCGCUAAUACCGCAUACGUCCUGCGGGAGCAAGUGGGGGAUCUUCGGACCUCACGCUAUCAGAUGAGCCUAGGUCGGAUUAGCUAGUUGGUGGGGUAAAGGCCUACCAAGGCGACGAUCCGUAACUGGUCUGAGAGGAUGAUCAGUCACACUGGAACUGAGACACGGUCCAGACUCCUACGGGAGGCAGCAGUGGGGAAUAUUGGACAAUGGGCGAAAGCCUGAUCCAGCCAUGCCGCGUGUGUGAAGAAGGUCUUCGGAUUGUAAAGCACUUUUAGUUGGGAGGAAGGGCAGUAAGUUAAUACCUUGCUGUUUUGACGUUACCAACAGAAUAAGCACCGGCUAACUUCGUG
rnacentral:rRNA from 1 species